AGAGAGAUAUAAUUGAUUGAACAUAAAUGAUGUGGUAUAAAUACUAUACAGUAGACUUUCUCCUCUUCAUUCAAAAGUCAUCAUUCCUUGUCAAUCAACUUGUUUUUAAUUAAAAUUUAGAUUAAAUUACAUAAAAUUUUUCUGUCAAAAUUCGAUUUUUCACUUUUUUCCAUGUUAUUUAAAAACCUACACUUUACCCCAUUGUAAAAUAAAAAAUAUUUACAGGGGGAUAUGGUAUGUACUGUGAUGAUAAAAUGACCAUUUGCCCCUCGCCAUUUUCGUCUUCUCCCUCAGAUUCCUCAAGAGCAGCCUCGAUUGGCCACGGUUCACGCCUCGAUCGGUCGCGGUUUCUCCGCGGUUCACGCCUCAUCUUUCUCCUGCAUCCUCACCGCCCCUCGAUUUCGAUGACAGUAGAGUAGAAAUCGAGGUGGGGGUGGAUGAAGAGGUGGGUAACGACAACGAGGGCGAAGGCGAGGCGGCGGAGGAGGGCGCAGGGGUGUUUGUGGGCGCGGACGGGGAUGUGAGCGAGGGCAAGGCAGUGGAGGAGGGCGAGGCAGCGAGGCGGCGAGGCGGAGGAAGGCAGAGGAAGGCGAAGCAACAGGAAAAAGGGCGGAGAGAUAUUUUGGGCAUAAAAAAAAUUUUAUAACGGAACUUUAACGGAUCACUAACAGUAGGGGGCGAACUGCAUAUUUUUUAUUUUACAAGGGGGCAAAAUAUAGAUUUUUAAAUGACAGGAGAAAAAGUAAAAAAUCAUAUUUUGACAGAAAAAUUUUCUGUAAUUUAGCCUAAAAUUAUUUAAAUUUUUAUGAGCUCGGAUAUAUUUAAAUAGA
rnacentral:lncRNA from 1 species